GAUGAACGCUGGCGGCGUGCCUAAUACAUGCAAGUCGAGCGAACAGACGAGGAGCUUGCUCCUCUGACGUUAGCGGCGGACGGGUGAGUAACACGUGGAUAACCUACCUAUAAGACUGGGAUAACUUCGGGAAACCGGAGCUAAUACCGGAUAACAUGUUGAACCGCAUGGUUCAACAGUGAAAGACGGUCUUGCUGUCACUUAUAGAUGGAUCCGCGCCGCAUUAGCUAGUUGGUAAGGUAACGGCUUACCAAGGCAACGAUGCGUAGCCGACCUGAGAGGGUGAUCGGCCACACUGGAUCUGAGACACGGUCCAGACUCCUACGGGAGGCAGCAGUAGGGAAUCUUCCGCAAUGGGCGAAAGCCUGACGGAGCAACGCCGCGUGAGUGAUGAAGGUCUUCGGAUCGUAAAACUCUGUUAUUAGGGAAGAACAAAUGUGUAAGUAACUAUGCACGUCUUGACGGUACCUAAUCAGAAAGCCACGGCUAACUACGUG
rnacentral:rRNA from 1 species